UACGUAGGGACCGAGCGUUGUCCGGAUUCAUUGGGCGUAAAGAGCUCGUAGGCGGCCACUCAAGUCGAAUGUGAAACCUCGAGGCUUAACCUCGAGCCUGCAUUCGAUACUGGGCGGCUAGAGUCUGUAGGGGGAUCUGGAAUUCCUGGUGUAGCGGUGGAAUGCGCAGAUAUCAGGAGGAACACCGGUGGCGAAGGCGGGUCCUGCCGUGGCAG
rnacentral:rRNA from 1 species